UCAUUUGUUAUAAGCACUAUACGAUUUUUUUCCCCUCUUCUGCUGUUAUAUGAAUCUAAGCUUCAUUUCUAUGGUUGAAUUUUACAUACGAGUCUAAGCUUGAUAAUUUUGUUCAUUGUUUCAUUGUACUUGUUCGUUUCGGUGGCAGCAGAGAUGGGCGUUUGAUUUGGCGUGCGUGUAGUGUACCAUGAAUGGGAACAGCAUGUAUCCAUCUGUAGCCUGAUCUUACUCCUACGGUGAUGAUUUUUUGCUUCUAUUGCUAGCAUGAACAGGAACAACAGGAAUCUGUAGUCUGGGCUUAUGGUGGCUUAUUCCUGUUGUGGCGAUGAUUUUUGUUUGUAUUGCUGUGAUUUGGUGUUGCUUGUGUUCUCACAGUUGUGAUGGAGCAUUUGUGAAGGCCUGCUAGCCGUAGUAGGGUAUUUACCCAUUUUUGCUCUAUUUUUCAUGGUCAGACUCAUUUGUGCUUUUCAUCCAGACUGUACUAGAAGUGUUAAUAUGAUUGAUAUGAUGUCGGUCCGUUCCUUGACGUGUAAUGGCCAAUUUGUAGCUAUCUUUUAUGUCCAAUUUUCUGUUUAUUUUUACUGGUGAUUUAUGGGUCUAGCUUUUGGCCUUAGUACAAAGUGUUCAUUUUGUGUGUUUUCGUUAGCAGGGUGUCAAACUUUGGCUUACAUAUAUGGCUUAUCCAAUUCUGGUUUCGAAGUAAAAUAUGAUUGUGACAGGCCGGAAGAUGCGUUUCUUAGCUUUAUGGAUUUCUCUGAUCUGUCAACAAUCAAGCAGCUUGGCAUUUUGCUUUACUCAAGUGUUUUCUUUUCAUUGUGGUCAAUUGCACUCGACUUUAAAUUUCAUUGCACUAGUUUAACUUUUGCAAUUCUAGAUGUACCAACUCGCAAUUGCAUUUUGUUAGUUUAUUUUCAUCGUGGCAAAUUGCUCCGCCCUUUAAAUUUAAUUACACUACUUUAACUUUUUGCAAUUCUAAGUGUACCGACUUGCAAUUGCGAAUUUCAUUUAUGUUUCUUUCUCUUAUGUUCAAAUUACUUCCACAAGUAUACAUACCCGUUUUACUUUAUUUUAUGUCUUUCUUUAGUGGUAGCAGCAACACAAGCAAUGUUGAAGCAAGACCUGAGAUUAAUUUCAAAUAAGAAGGUAUUAUCUGUUUGAAAAUUGCAGUGCCUUUUAAAUCAAAUUACACCCCUUUUUGCUGUUGCAAUUCCAACCUUUUGAAAUUGCAAUUGCAUUAGGUCCUGUACAUUCAAUUAUGCAAUCUAUUUGAAAUUUGCACUGCCUUUUAAAUCAAAUUGCACCCCCUUUUCAUCUCGCUCGCUCUAUAUUGUGGCUGCAUUUCCUUUGUUCUUUGGCCGAUAGGGGGUGUGAUUCCCAGGAAAUCCAUGUCAAGAACAAGGGGAGGAAGAGGGCCAGGUGCGGUCAGUGGGCACACCUUGACAAUGGGAGAUUUAGAGAGGGCAGCGACUAUCAUGACGAAAUAGAUGAUAUAAUUGUGAGCCUGCUGACAAUAUCUCUGCACUACAUGAUUAUGUUUUAUUCUUUCCUUUUUGCAAUUGGAGCAGCUGCAUAUAUUUGCAAUUUUCCAGCACCUGCAAUUGCAUACCACCCGGACUGCAUUUGCAUACCAUCUUGGACUGCAAUUGUAAUUAUUCUUACUGAUGCAAUUGCACUGUCUAUAAUUGCACUAAUUCGGUGUUUUGCAAUUGCAAGCUCACCUAGCUGCAAUUGCUACCCUGAGAUCUAGAUUCUCUGUAAUUCUUUUUUUUGUUUCCUCUUUUAGUGGGUAUUUGCUCGCACUUUUACAUUUGCGCUAAAUUGCACCACUUUUUUCUGCAAUCGCUCUCUUUCUAAGGUGCAACUGGUAUUCUAACUUCUCAUUCUUUUCUUUCAUUUGUUUGCAGCUUUAUUGUUUUCCUCUCAAUUUAAAAUUUUAUAUGUGCAGUUUUAAUUUCAUCUUUGACCACUUUAAGCAAUUUAGUUUUCAUUCUCUCUAUUAAGAAUUUUCUGUUCAAGCUGGGUCUUCCGUUUCUUUUAUCCGUGGAGUGGGGGUGGGGGGGGGGGUGUGGAGGGCGCAGGGGUGAGUACUGGUGUAUCGUCGCGCAGUAACUGAAGCUAUAUUUUUGAAAAUUUCAAUUCUGAUUUUAUAUCUUUUUGCAUGUUGAUGACCCUUAUUGUUCAACUUGUUCACAGGCAUAUUUGAUGGCUGUGAUCGUUGCUGCUACCUGAAGCACUCGUUUGUAUCUUCUUUCCAAAUAUCUUGAAUUCCUAUAAAACAAGAUGUGCAUACAUGGUUUAAUUUUUGUUGUUUCUAAUAAAAUAUAGGCACUUGCUAUAGAGUAACACGUUGCUACUGUUCUGUUUUCUGACAUAUCCUUGCAAUUAUUACAUUUUGGAAUUGUAAUAUGACUGAACUUUGGCACUGUCUCCUCGAACUGAAGUUUACACUUUCUUAUCUGCUAACGAAGCUUGACCUAUCUUAUCUGCUAUAAUAUCAUUUGUGUUAAAGGUACAGCCUUGGAGUUUUGGACGACCACCUUUUGCUCUGCAAGGAAAAACUGAAUGUUCUUGCUUGAUUGUGUGUUGUUCUGAUGCUUGAAGAGGGGUUAGGAAAACCUCAGCCUGAGUUAGUAGUGUUUUCUUUAGAAAACAAAGUGUUGCGUUUCUAUUCUUGUUUAAGCUUUUGGGUUUACAGUAGAAGCUUACUUGCUUCAGAUUUUUAAUGUCACCACAAGGUUAAACAUGAAACCAUGUUUUUCUUCUUGUCAAAUUUUGUACUGUCAAACUGUGUAUGUAGGUGUACCACACACACAUGCAUACAGUUCAGUUCUGGCAAUAAUCAAGGAGUUAUUUAUGCAAUAGCAUAUUAUGUUUAGAAAA